rnacentral:Y_RNA from 1 species
GGCUGGUCUGAAGGUAGUGAGUUAUCUCACUUGAUUGUUCACAGUCAGUUACAGAUUGAACUCCUUGUUCUACUAAUUUCCCUCCUUCUCACUACCUGCACUCGACUAGUCAAAA